UAUUGUGUCAGACUCAUCUCCCGCUGAAGAGGAUCCAGCGACAUCAAGAGAUUACGGAAAAUCACGCGAGAUAACUGUCUUGCACCUUGUUGGGUUUUUUCAAGGGCAGAGGGGAGAUUCCUGGCGUGCAUCUACUUAAUUUGAAGAAGAACAUCACCUGAUCACCUGUCUGUAAUCCACCUGCGAUGACACUGCUGAGGGCAGAUGAGAGUGCAUCCUCAAAGGUCUGUGUGUACCUAAAUGAAGAUCCAGAGAAGCUGGUGAGGGAGUACAUGGACGUCGAUGAAUGUGCAGAAAUGGCCAAAGCCGAGACUGUCCUCGGAUUCGUCAUUUGAGCAGAGGGUGCAGAGGCUGCCGAUGCACAUCUGGAUGUUGGGAUUGUCUUGGAGGAGGUGGAAGUUAUGAACAGCUUGGGCAGUGUAUCUUCUGCAAUAGUGAUGCUGCUGGGACUAAUCUACGCACUAAACUUGAGCUACCCUCAAGUUUACAUUUAUCGCCGCACCAUGUUAGGUACAUUCUGUGCGAAAAAAGUCUGCAGAGCCAUAUGUAGUGUACAAAGCUAAACUUGAGCUACCCUCAAGUUUAGUGCGUUCAGCACUCAACUUGCUCAGUAACUCAAGCAUA